rnacentral:rRNA from 1 species
UACGGAGGGGACUAGCGUUGUUCGGAAUUACUGGGCGUAAAGCGCACGUAGGCGGAUUUGUAAGUCAGGGGUGAAAUCCCGGGGCUCAACCCCGGAACUGCCUUUGAUACUGCGAAUCUCGAGUCCGGAAGAGGUGAGUGGAAUUCCUAGUGUAGAGGUGAAAUUCGUAGAUAUUAGGAAGAACACCAAUGGCGAAGGCAGCUCUCUGGGACGGUACUGACGCUGAGACGCGAAAGCGUGGGGAGCGAACAGG